rnacentral:rRNA from 1 species
GACAGAGGGCGCGAGCGUUGUUCGGAAUCAUUGGGCGUAAAGCGGGAGUAGCCGGCUAUGCUAGUCUGAUGUUAAAUCCUCUGGCCCAACUGGGGGACCGCAUCGGAAACGGCAUGGCUAGAGUUGGUGAGAGGUGUGCGGAACGUGCAGUGUAGGGGUGAAAUCCAUUGAUAUUGCACGGAACACCAAAAGCGAAAGCAGCACACUGGCGCCAUACUGACGGUCAAUCGCGAAAGCGUGGGGAUCAAAAAGG